rnacentral:lncRNA from 1 species
UGGCACCAGAAACCGAUUUGGUCCAAAGCAGAUUGAAAAUAUUGAGAGAACAAAUAUUAUUUUCCAAACUUCUGUCAUUCUGUCGUAUUGAAUCACUGUUGCAUCGGAAAUCUAGAUUUUUAUAUUUUGAAUCUCCAGUCUUAACAUUUGAAUACUUGAGUUUAGAAUAAAAUUCAAACUUCUUUUGGCUUAGGGAAUAAAUUAUAGAACCUUAUGAUCUCUGUUGUUAAUGAACUAUCCAUUUAAGAAGUAAAAUUGGAUUAGCCAUGUUUAAGACAAGCCAGUCAAAGACCUGUGACAUUUAGAUUUUUCCAGAAUUAAUGGGGCCAUGCUAUUACCUGAAGCCUACAGGUCUCUGAACAAAAGGAAUGGGAAGAUACAGAAGCUGGUUAUCUCAAAGCUUUGGCUCUUCCAUUUCCACACUGGACACAUUGUCUCUAGGUAUUUGUGUCCCUUUGCAAUUUCUUUGCUUUUUAACUUACCUUUCAUUCUUACUUUUUUAAUUAAAAAUGCUAGGAGUUUCCACUGCAGCCCAGUGAGUUAAGAAGUUGAUUGCAGUGGCUUGGGUUGCCUCAGAGGCUCAGGUUCGAUGCCUGGCCCGGUGGAAGGAUUUGACAUUGGUACAGCUGUGGCUCAGAUUCAAUCUCUGACCUGGGAACUUCCUUAUUCUGAGGGUGUGGCCAAAAACAUUCUAGCCGCCAGUCAAAAAUAGCUAAGUGUGACCCUAUUUCAGAUCUGACUCUUCUAGAAAAGUGGCCUUUUGGGAAAAGCUGCAUUGGAACAGAAGAAUCAAUUUCUUUCCGGCACUAGAAACAUCGAGGCUGUCAUCUGAUUCUUGUAGAAAAAUGAGCAAGUCUCCCCAAAUGGAUUCCCUCCUCUCAAGGAUGACAAAAUCUGAAGGGCCAUGGACAAAUGAGGUCACUAACAUCUCAGGGUCUUCUGGUGAAGCAAAGAGUAUUUCUUUGGAGUGAAUUAAGUGGACACACGGAGCUCUAGGGAUAGACUAGAUUUUGCAAAUAAAAUUAUUUGCACCUACCUAAGACGCUACUGGUCCACUCUCAGAAGGAUAUUCGUGGGGACGUGCCUCUCUUUGAGUUACCUGCCCGCCUGCUGAGUUCCCUUGUGACUAAGGCCACAUACGUGGAAGAGGGUUUUAGGCAGAGACCGUGGUCAUUCCCUUCAUGCGAAGGGUGCUGUCGGGAGCCAGCCUCAUCUGUACCCAGCCCUGUCCAUCCGAGAUGACUCUCGAACCACACGGCUUCUAGACAGAAGUCGUAGGUGCCCACCCUUAAGGAUGGAAUAAUAGGGGGGCUCACAGGCAUGAUUGACAUAUUUUAUUUGUCUCAGGUCACACAAAAAUUGGAAUCUUGGACACAAAUUACCAAGGGAGAUCCUGAAUGUUACCGAGGAUCUAGGUUUGCAUCAACUGGGAUUGUAAUAUUUGUGGGGAUCUGGAGUCAAUAGUGUGAGACAUGGAAAUCCACAUUGCCCAAGGCAGUCUGGUGAGCUCAAGCUCGGUCCAGAGCUGUAAGAGACCAAAAAAAAAAAAAAAAAAAAGUCUAGACAACAUCUGCGAUCUGGAAUAUUUUUAGAUACUAUGGAAGGAAAGAAGAGUCUUGAACACUAGCUGCUCAAGAGAGAAGAGACGGGAUUUGGUCCCAACUGCAGAUUUUCUCUCUGAGUCUUAGCAGCCACAGGAUGGUGGCAGCCCCCUGGGCUUCCUGGUUGCAUCUUGGGCAAUGUAUCCAUGAAGGUACUCUCACCUCCGAGGUGGCAGCCCAGAGGUGCUGGCAUGGUCAGAGAGAUAAGUUUUGUUUUGUUUGGGUUUUUCACUCAGAAGUCAGAUCUGGACUCAGAAACCAUUGCUUGGGUUGCUAUGUUAGUGUACCCCACUGCUUUCAUAGCCUUUUUUGGGGGGGGUGUGUGAAAUGUUAAAAGAGGAGUCUUCAUUUCCAUUGCAGCACAGGCAUGGAGAACAGACUUGUGGUUGCCAAGGGGCAGGGAGUGGGAUGGAUGGGGAGUUUGGGGGAGUAGAUGCAAACUAUUACAUUUAGAAUGGAUAAGCAAUAAAGUCCUGCCAUGUAACACAUGGGACUUUAUCCAGUCUCUUGGGAUAGAACAUGGUAGAAGACAAUAUGAGAAAAAAAAAAUAUCUAUAUAUGACUGACUGGGUCACUUUGAUGUACAGCAGAAAUUGGCACAACAUUGUAAAUCAACUAUAAUUAAAAAAAAGAGAGAGAGCGACGCAGGAAUUGUUCUUUGGACCUUGACUGUAAGCUGAUGGUAACAAAAUCGGAUACCAAUUCUGCCUUGGAUACAUGUCAUGGGAUCACAGAAUCUCAGGGUUGACCUUCACCGUCAAAGUCAUCUCUUCCUUUGACCUAUUUCGUUUUUGACUCACCUCGACAGCCUCCUCGACGGGGGCCGUCUUUGCUGUGUUGCGGUCCUCAAAGAGCUUGGCGGUGAUCAGGUUGCAAAUCCAGUCCUUUACCAUUGCAUCAUUAUGUCCUAAACUUGACUCUGCUGAAGAAGAGGGCAGAGCGGUGGAAGAUGUCCACCUGUUCAAGGUCAGGGAGCUGGGCGGUGGAAGACCACAGAGGCAGGAAUCUGGAUUCCCUACCUGGGAUUUAGUCACAUGGUCUCUCACUGUAACAAAGCAAGUGAUCCGAGGCAAGCUUAAAAAAUGGCAUCAACAGCAGUCACCGUAUUUUAUUUCACGUGCCUUCCUGCAGUCCUCCUCCUGGGACACUGUGGUCAUUUACUGGGAUGUGAGGAACAUUCCAUUAAGCCAAACCCCAAAGGCAUUUGUUUUUACAAACAGAGAAGUUUAUAAUUUACAAAAAUUCAUUUUCUUUCUUUUUUCUUUUUACCGCCUCACUGCACGCCUAUGAAAGUUCCCAGGCUAGGCGUUGAACUGGAGCUGCAGCUGAGGGCUACGCCACAGCCACAGCAAUGCGGGACCUGCACUGUGUCUGCUUGCACCCACACUGGACCCUUAACCUACAGAGCAAGGUCAGGAAUUGAACCUGCAUCCCUGGGAACACUAUGUUGGGUUCUUAACCUAUUGGACCACAUCAGGAGGUCCAAAAAUUCAUUUUAAAAAUAGGAUUGUUGGAGUUCCCAUCGUGGCGCAGUGGUUAACGAAUCCGACUAGGAACCAUGAGGUUGCGGGUUCGAUCCCUGCCCUUGCUCAGUGGGUUAAUGAUCCGGCGUUGCCGUGAGCUGUGGUGUAGGUUGCAGACGCGGCUAGGAUCCUGCGUUGCUGUGGCUCUGGCGUAGGCCGGCAGCUAUAGCUCCGAUUAGACCCCUAGCCUGGGAACCUCCACAUGCCGCGGGAGCGGCCCAAGAAAUGGCAAAAAG